rnacentral:rRNA from 1 species
AUUCCUACGGGAGGCAGCAGUGGGGAAUCUUGCGCAAUGGGCGAAAGCCUGACGCAGCAACGCCGCGUGCGGGAUGAAGGCCUUCGGGUUGUAAACCGCUUUCAGCAGGGAAGAAAUUGACGGUACCUGCAGAAGAAGCCCCGGCCAACUACGUGCCAGCAGCCGCGGUAACACGUAGGGGGCGAGCGUUGUCCGGAUUUAUUGGGCGUAAAGAGCUCGUAGGCGGUUCGGUAAGUCGGGUGUGAAACCUCCAGGCUCAACCUGGAGACGCCACCUGAUACUGCUGUGACUAGAGUCCGGUAGGGGAGUGUGGAACUCCUGGUGUAGCGGUGAAAUGCGCAGAUAUCAGGAAGAACACCAGCGGCGAAGGCGGCACUCUGGGCCGGUACUGACGCUGAGGAGCGAAAGCGUGGGUAGCAAACAGGAUUAGAUACCCUGGUAGUCCACGCCGUAAACGUUGGGCACUAGGUGUGGGUCUCAACCAACGAGAUCCGUGCCGCAGCUAACGCAUUAAGUGCCCCGCCUGGGGAGUACGGCCGCAAGGCUAAAACUCAAAGGAAUUGACGGAAU